CAGGAUGCCCAGUUUAUUUUGAAUUCCAGAUAAUCGAUGAAUAAACUUUUAGUAUAAGUAUAUCCCAUGCAAUGUUUGGUACAUACUUAUGCUAAAAAUUUUUUGGCGUUUAUUGGAAAUUCAAAUUUAAUUGGGUAUCAUUUA
rnacentral:miRNA from 1 species